rnacentral:rRNA from 1 species
CCUACGGGAGGCAGCAGUGGGGAAUAUUGGACAAUGGGCGAAAGCCUGAUCCAGCCAUGCCGCGUGUGUGAAGAAGGCCUUCGGGUUGUAAAGCACUUUCAGUGGGGAAGAAAGCCUUGGGGCUAAUACCCUCGAGGAAGGACAUCACCCACAGAAGAAGCACCGGCUAACUCCGUGCCAGCAGCCGCGGUAAUACGGAGGGUGCGAGCGUUAAUCGGAAUUACUGGGCGUAAAGCGCGCGUAGGCGGUCUGAUAAGCCGGUUGUGAAAGCCCCGGGCUCAACCUGGGAACGGCAUCCGGAACGGUCAGGCUAGAGUGCAGGAGAGGAAGGUAGAAUUCCCGGUGUAGCGGUGAAAUGCGUAGAGAUCGGGAGGAAUACCAGUGGCGAAGGCGGCCUUCUGGACUGACACUGACGCUGAGGUGCGAAAGCGUGGGUAGCAAACAGGAUUAGAUACCCGUGUAGUC